rnacentral:rRNA from 1 species
ACGGCUCAGUAACACGUAGCUAAUCUACCCUUAGGUCAAGGAUACCCUCGGGAAACUGAGAAUAAUACUUGAUAUGAGACAUACCCUGGAAUGAUUUGUCUCUUAAAUUCGCGCCUAAGGAUGAGGCUGCGGCGGAUUAGGUUGUUGGCGGGGUAACUGCCCACCAAGCCGAUUAUCCGUAAGGGCUCUUAGCGGAGAAGCCCUGAGAGGGAAUCUGAGACACUAUUCCCAGCCCUACGGGGUGCAGCAGUCGGGAGUUUUCUUCAAUGCACGCAAGUGUGAAAGAGCGAACCAAAGUGUUUCUCAUUGAGAAACUUUUGCCAAGUGUAAAAAGCUUGGCGAAUAAGGACUGGGUAAGACUAGUGCCAGCCGCCGCGGUAAUCCUAGCGGUCCAAGUCGCAGCCAACAUUAUUAGGUCUAAAACAUCCGUAGCUUGCCAUGCAAGUCUCUUGUGAAAUCCGACAUCUUAAGUGUCGGGCGCGCAGGAGGUACUACACGGCUAGAGACUGGAGAGACGUAAAGAGUACGGUUAAAGUAGUGGUAAAAUACGUUAAUCUUAGCCGGACUUACAACAGCGAAGGCACUUUACGAGAACAGUUCUGACAGUGAGGGAUGAAGGCUAGGGGCGCAAAAGGGAUUAGAUACCCCUGUAGUCCUAGCAGUAAACACUGCACACUAAACAUCGGGACCUCCUCGAGAGGUUUCGGUGCUGAAGGGAAGCCGAAGAGUGUGCUACCUGGGGAGUAUAGUCGCAAGGCCGAAACUUAAAGGAAUUGGCGGGGGAGCAC